UCUACGAUGAACAGCAGCUCCUGAAGUUUUGACACCUCUUGGCAAAAGUACAGAAGUGAAGAGGUAGAGUCACCCCCGGAGUGAGAGGAGCAAUGUAACGGUAUGAGAAGAAUGAAGCUCAAUGAUGACAACUAAAAACUUCAGAGACGGGUUCUUGCUCUGUUGUCUAGGAGUGCAGCUCAAGCUACCCUCCCGCAUCAGCCUCCUGAACAGCUGGGACUACAAGUGCACACCACCAU
rnacentral:lncRNA from 10 species